UCUUCUCAGGGGUGUGGUGCCAUGUGUCAUGACUCUUACAAUACAGCUAUUUGUUACUCUUCGUUUGCCUCCUUUUCUUUUAUUUCAGAAUGUUACGAGGGGUACAAACGUUUAGGUUACAUAAAUUGCUUUUGAUGCCUCCUUUUAAUGUCUGUUCUGCCAAGUCUCGCUGGAGGAAGAAGACCCCGAAACUAGUCCUGGUGGUCUCAGACCGCGGGGAGAGAAAAGAGUGGGGGGAACAAAGGCUGGGGAGUUGAGGAGGGUGCAGAUGGGCGCGCCUGGAAAGCAGUGCCUCCUGCAGAGUCCGGGAGAGCUGCCCGGCUGCAGGCUGCAGCGCUAGUUAAGACUGCACUGCUUAGAAGAGGCCAAUUCCCAAACAACGGGAGGGGGAAAUUCUGCCUGGACCCCUGGAGUGCUGGAGGCUUUUGUCACUCAUGAACGUCAAAAAGAGUCCUUUGAUGACUGGACGCUUACCUCACAAGCUUGAGACGCCAAACGAUGUUGAUUUCAAACCGGCGGGAGAGCCAAGAGUUUGAGAAAUCCAAAACGAAGAAUCCAGCUACCUGUGAAUACGAGAAAUGAGCAACUCAUCUGAAAGACCCAUCUCUGGGAGAGGAGUCUACAUUGUCAUUGCAGUAUCUUGAAGACACAAUAAACUUAUGGGCCACA